rnacentral:lncRNA from 1 species
AACACAUAUUAAUUAAUUUCACAUGUAAAUACUUCAUCCGUUAUCAACAUAAUGACUUUCAAAAUUUCCCAUAAGCUAAUAUAGCUAAUUAACUGGACGAAACAUUAUGGUUCAUUGUCUCAAACACAAUGUGGGUUUACAAAAUGAUAGAUAAAAUUCAUCACCAAUGAUUCAAUCACCACUACACAAAAUAUCCUGAACCGCCGGCUUUAUGGUUCCUCCUCCGCUUGCAUGUCUUUCCUGCAAAAUGUAAAGAAGUUGCCAUUACAUUCUUACAUUCAUAAAUACAAUGUACCAUAAAAAUUGGAUAAAGCAUAGCAUUGACAACAGCUAUUACUUCACAAGGCAAGCAAGUACCAAAAUACCUACUCAAGAAGGCACUCCAUUCAAGUAUAGGUAACCACUAGAAGUAGACGCAAGCCUUGCCACACUGCUUUUCAUUGUGGACCCGCUUUUAUCUCUCUUAUUCCUCACGUUCGAUGACUCAAUGCACAUAUGCAUGCUGCUCGUACUUAUGGCCAUGGUGCACAUAUAUAAGGCACUCGUGACAAAACUUCAAGAACAUCAUAGAUUACUUUAUUCAAAUAGAAUAUCAUGAAGUUUGUUUAUUGAGUGCUACACUUUAGUGUGCUCAGUGGAAAAAAAAAUUACAGUAGAAAACGGAAAAAAUGCACACCUGAUCCAAGUCACAUCAUGAUUUUCUGGGAGAGCUUACCACCAUGGGGGAAUGGUUAUAGAAAAACCUGAGACUUGAAGAUUUCUUUCCUUACCUGAUCAUCACCAAUUUCCAAUAAUAAAUUAACUAUGGAAACAUAAUACAUGUGCAACAUUAGU